rnacentral:rRNA from 1 species
GAUGAACGCGGGCGGCGUGGAGAAGCCAUGCAAGUCGAACGCCCCGCAAGGGGAGUGGCAGACGGGUGAGUAACACGUGGGAACGUACCCUUUGGUGCGGAAUAACUUGGGGAAACUCAAGCUAAUACCGGAUAAGCCAUGAUGGGGAAAGGUUUACUGCCGAAGGAUCGUCCCGCGUCUGAUUAGCUAGUUGGUGAGGUAAUGGCUCACCAAGGCGACGAUCAGUAGCUGGUCUGAGAGGAUGAUCAGCCACACUGGGACUGAGACACGGCCCAGACUCCUACGGGAGGCAGCAGUGGGGAAUAUUGGACAAUGGGGGCAACCCUGAUCCAGCCAUGCCGCAUGAGUGAUGAAGGCCUUAGGGUUGUAAAGCUCUUUUACCCGGGACGAUAAUGACUGUACCGGGAGAAUAAGCCCCAGCUAACUUCGUGCCAGCAGCCGCAGUAA